UUCUACCACUGAGGGGCGCCAAAGUCUAAAAUGUCCAGAUUCUCAACACACAGCCACCAUAUGGAUCAAUAAACACCUGUGACACAGUCUCACCGACAGCAACAGAAAAUUAUAACUUUCACAAAGGUGUUUUUUUUUGCAGGAGUAAUAGAUUACAUUACACUUCUUCACACACCCCUCUGGAUUCUGUGUUUGGGUCUAAUGAAUGCAACAGGAAUGUGGGACUAAUGUGACCUCUUUAUCCAGUUUCCCACUGAACAUGCUGCUCAUAAGGGAUUAGUGAGAUUUAGGCCCGACAUUGUACGCUAAGUUUCCCUUUCAAAUGAAACAUCAAGUAGGAUAUUUCUCCUCAUUAUUAAUUAAAUCCGCACCUGAAGUCUAUUUUGACAGUCAACUGCCGUGUAGUAAAAGAAAAACAGUGCUUCUAGCAGGUCAGUGUGAUGGGCUUUGUGCUGGCUGAAUGCAGUGGUUGAGUUGGGCGUGUAUUUAUGUGUGUGCUGCUUACAUACAUGAGGUCAUGGGUGUGUCGACUUUGUGUGUGCGUGUGCGUGUGCGUGUAUGUGUGUGUGUGUUGGAGGGGAUGGCGGUGUCUCAAGGUCAUGUUGACAGUCCACACACAGACAGCGCCAGAGGAAAGCGCCAGCCUUGUUGACCCACUUUGCGUGUGUGUGUGUGUGUGUUCAGGACAUGGUUCUGGUGAAAUGUUUGCUCAGGGAGUGGAUCGUGCCACUUUGUGCAAGAGGGUGUGUGUAUGUGGUUGUUUUGGCAUUAAGACAUGGUUUUAGCAUUAAGAUUAGGCGUAUACAGCACGGUAGCUCUUAUGGUUACGGUAAGAUCCCCAAAAGGAUCGCAGGAUAAAUUUGCGCGCGUGUGCGUUUGCGAGUGUGUGCACGCACUUUUCACACUUAUAAGCAAACUCUUCAGCCGUGUUCUGUUGAAGCAGUGUAGGAGUCCAUGUUUGUGUAACAAAUACAUGAGUCUCUGAAGAGCUUCGCCGUGUGUGUGUGUGUGUGUGUAUGUGUGUGUGUGUGUGUGUGUGUGUGUGUGUGUGUGCGUGUGUGUAAUCAAACUGAAUCGAUGUUCCUACGAACUGAAAGACAAGUGCUAUCUGAGCUAUCUGGAUAGUUGUUAUGUCCUUCCUCUAAACAACACGGUAUUUUGAGGUUUGGUAUCCACCCUGUACUUUGGGGUGGAGUCACACAAACACUUUUUUUUUUACUGCGUGUGCGUUUCGCUCGACUGUGUCAAAUAUAUCUAUGUUUAGCAUUUUUUUUUUUUUAUUUUGCAUGAGUGUCCGAGGGUUUGUUGCAAAUUGAAUUGACUUGUUUUUUUUGACUGUGGGUCAAUUGGCGAAGUUAAAAAAAAAAUAAAAAAUGAAUUUCCCCCAGAUAAAAAGUUUUUCAUAUCGUGUGAAUAUAAAUUUUCCUUUCUACUAACAAGCUCUGCUGUUUUGCACAA